rnacentral:rRNA from 1 species
UACAGAGGUGGCAAGCGUUGUUCGGAAUUACUGGGCGUAAAGGGCGCGUAGGCGGUUCGUUAAGUCCUGUGUGAAAUCCCCCGGCUCAACUGGGGAACUGCACAGGAAACUAGCGGGCUUGAGUUCGGGAGAGGGAAGCGGAAUUCCGGGUGUAGCGGUGAAAUGCGUAGAUAUCUGAAGGAACAUCAGUGGCGAAAGCGACUUCCUGGACCAAUACUGACGCUCAUGUGCGAAAGCGUGGGGAGCAAACAGG